GCUGCUUCUGUUGCUGUUGCUGUUGCUGCUGCUGUUGCUGUUGCUGCUGCUGCUGCAGCAGCAGCAGCAGACUAUGUAUGUAUGUCUUCUCUGUUUUCUCUGCCUUUGGCGAUGACGAAGGCAUACAUAAAAUU
rnacentral:snoRNA from 1 species